rnacentral:rRNA from 1 species
AAAACUUUACAAUGCGGGCAACCGUGAUAAGGGAACCUCGAGUGCCUGUAUAUGCAGGCUGUCCAGGUGUCUAAAGCACACCUGAAGAAAGGGCCGGGCAAGACCGGUGCCAGCCGCCGCGGUAAUACCGGCGGCUCGAGUGGUGGCCACUUUUAUUGGGCUUAAAGCGUUCGUAGCUGGGUUGUUAAGUCUCUUGGGAAAUCCGACGGCUCAACCGUCGGGCGUCUAAGGGAUACUGGCAAUCUUGGAACCGGGAGAGGUGAGGGGUACUUCGGGGGUAGGAGUGAAAUCCUGUAAUCCUCGAGGGACCACCUGUGGCGAAGGCGCCUCACCAGAACGGCUUCGACAGUGAGGGACGAAAGCUGGGGGAGCAAACCGG